rnacentral:rRNA from 1 species
UACAGAGGUCCCAAGCGUUGUUCGGAUUCACUGGGCGUAAAGGGUGCGUAGGCGGUGAGGUAAGUUUGACGUGAAAUCUCCGGGCUCAACCCGGAACUGCGUUGAAUACUAUCUCGCUAGAGGAGUGGAGGGAGACGUGGAAUGACUUGGUGUAGCAGUGAAAUGACGUAGAUAUCAAGUGGAACAGCCAGUGGCGAAGGCGAGUCUCUGGACAUUUCCUGACGCUGAGGCACGAAAGCCAGGGGAGCAAACGGG